UACGAAGGGUGCAAACGUUGCUCGGAAUUAUUGGGCGUAAAGCGCACGUAGGCGGUAUUGCAAGUCGGAUGUGAAAUCCCUCAGCUCAACUGAGGAAGUGCAUCCGAAACUGCAAGGCUUGAGUACUGAAGAGGAUCGCGGAAUUCCCGGUGUAGAGGUGAAAUUCGUAGAUAUCGGGAGGAACACCAGUGGCGAAGGCGGCGAUCUGGGCAGAUACUGACGCUGAGGUGCGAAAGCGUGGGGAGCAAACAGG
rnacentral:rRNA from 1 species